UAGUCUGUUUCAAAAACAAUUUUGUGCAAGCCCAGGGCCCAGGCACUAACCCAUAGAGUCCUACAAAAGCUUCACCCAUUUCACUCUAUUGGAGUUUAUAAUAUGUUUACGGUCGUUCAACAUAAUCUGGCCCUCUAAAAAUUACGGGUGACAACUCCAAACUCCAUAAGUAUUGGCAUGAAAGCUAUGUCUAUGGUGAUCUUGUACCAAUCCUCACGUGGGGGAAACCAGUGAGAGAUGACAGUGUUGUGUUAAGUGAGAUGAACUAGUCAAGGCCUGCUUGUAUGCUGACAAGGUGGAGUUAGCUAUCUUAAUAAUGCUUCUAGCAGGACUUCUAGUUUUGAAAGUAAAUAGUGCUCCCGGCAUACCAUAGAGCCCAUAGCAUAGCCCUUCUUCUGCUCUAUCUCCAUCACAAUUAGAAAAAAAAGGAAACCUGAAUCACUACCUGAUGUUGUUCAUGUGAUAUUGAAAGGUCCCACUGGCGCGAAAUCUUUUCUUCCAAUGUCAGCAACCUGGCAAUCAUGCAAAAUAUGCGUUGUAGUUUUUCAGUAUUGGUUGCAUGUACCACAGCAAUAAUCACUAUAGGUCCCAAAUAUGCUGACAGCUGCAGAAGUCGUGGUAUCUGUUUGUGUUGGAUUCUUCCGUCUUCUUUCUAACCCAUGCCACAUGAUAAAACACCCCCAACUUAAAUAUGUAAAAAUUAAUUUAUGGUGUACCUUCCGAGUCCAAAUGCCAACCAGCAAGUGACCCUAAACAUGAACAGCUGCA